rnacentral:rRNA from 1 species
CCUACGGGAGGCAGCAGUGGGGAAUUUUGGACAAUGGGCGCAAGCCUGAUCCAGCAAUGCCGCGUGAGUGAAGAAGGCCUUCGGGUUGUAAAGCUCUUUUGUCAGGGAAGAAACGGUGAUUUCUAAUACAGAUUGCUAAUGACGGUACCUGAAGAAUAAGCACCGGCUAACUACGUGCCAGCAGCCGCGGUAAUACGUAGGGUGCAAGCGUUAAUCGGAAUUACUGGGCGUAAAGCGUGCGCAGGCGGUUUUGUAAGUUUGUCGUGAAAUCCCCGGGCUCAACCUGGGAAUGGCGAUGAAGACUGCAAGGCUAGAAUCUGGCAGAGGGGGGUAGAAUUCCACGUGUAGCAGUGAAAUGCGUAGAGAUGUGGAGGAACACCGAUGGCGAAGGCAGCCCCCUGGGUCAAGAUUGACGCUCAUGCACGAAAGCGUGGGGAGCAAACAGGAUUAGAUACCCUGGUAGUCCACGCCCUAAACGAUGUCUACUAGUUGUCGGGUUUUAAUUAACUUGGUAACGCAGCUAACGCGUGAAGUAGACCGCCGUGGGGAAGUACGGUCGCGAAAGUAUUAAAACGUUAAAGGGAAUUGACCGGCUGAGACGNGCGACGGACGACGACGAGGGAGGAGG